CUGCUGCUCCUUUAUACUUGGGCUCGCAUUUUCUUUCCUUGCUUCAGCUCGAAGGGGACAGAACAAAGAGGCUGACUCGAUGAAUUUUAUGUUGGGUCAAAAGCCCGACGUAUUAUGUGAUGGUGUCUAGAGUUACCUUGUUUGUGUGCAGCGACUGUGGCUAAGUCGAUGACGAAUCCUACUUUCAACGCAACACCCGAGUUUUAGUAUUCAAAUAGAAACAAAGCACACGAGUGAAUAAAGAUGAGAAAACCGAACUGAGAAAUCAGAGAACAAAAGAAGUAAUUGUAUUCAGAUUUGUUCGGGAGAUCAAUCUCUGGUUUAGAUGGUCACCAAGACCAUGUAUUUAUACUAAAAACAAGAGGGUAUUUGAAAUUUGAAAAUCAUCCAAGGAGGGGGUGAGGGUUCGAUUGAAAAAACAAAAA